rnacentral:tRNA from 1 species
GGUUAGAUGGCCGAGCGGUCUAAGGCGCCACGUUAAGGAGAACCCUUAAUCCAAUCAACAGAUUCCGUGGUCCGAAAGGGCGUGGGUUCGAAUCCCACUCUAAUCA